rnacentral:lncRNA from 1 species
CUGGAGAGCAGGUGGAAUUGUAAGCCCAGAGACACUUGUGAGUGUCAGGAUUCAGCCACACAGACUGAUAGCCUCCUUAUCACUCCCCCCCACCCCAAGCAGCCCACUUCAGUUGUACUGAAGCCAUCAGAACCUGGGAGGGGGGGGGGCGGCAGACUUUGUACUGACCCCUGUCGCCUGCUGUGCCCUCCCUGUAUCACCUCCAUUUGGGUUAUGAAAUGAUAGUUGGUUCUGGAAGACAUCAGGGAGGUGAGUGGGAAGGGGCCUCUAGAAAGGCCUGUUGACUUCCCCCAGGAAGCUCUAGAAAGGUGCCCUAGUGGUGACUGUGACCAUUCCCCAGGCAGGGCCAGGGCUGGACCCCAGUGGAAACUGGGCCUGAUCCCGGAUCACCCCCUCCCUUCCUUCUCUGAGUUUACCCAAAAAUUUGCAAGGGGAAGACUAGGAAACAACCUGGACAAAAGGAGAAGGAGGGGGAGGGGAAGAAGAAAAAGAAAACUGCCUCCAAACCUUCCCAGUGGAGAGGAGGCUAGACAGGGAAGGAUCCAGAACUUCCUGCCUCAGCAUCCCCAUGGGGAGUGUCAUCUCUUCAGCCAGGACCCAGGAAGCCGCCCCGCUCGGCGACGGCGAGGCGAGUGGCAAGCAGUCCCAGGCAGCGGCCGAGAAGCGCCCAGGACCGCAGGGCCGUAACCGGGUGCCCUUGGGCGCCAGGCGGGGACCGGAGCGGGGCGGCUGCGGCGAUCCCCGUGCCCUGGGGGCCUGGCCUGCUCUCUGCUGCCGCGUCAGGGCCAGGCCCGCGCCGGGUCAAGAGCGGCACCUGUGAGCGCCCCGAAAGCGAGGGCCUGGGGACCUCGCUGCGGAUGCGCUGCGGUGGGACCAGAGCGGGGCUGGCGGGAGGCGACUCCAGGAAAACCCGGGAAAGAAAACACCCGGAAGGCGCCCCGGGAUGGUCUGAAGCUCGCAGCAGUGCCCGCAGAGCAGGUGCCGGGAUGCAGCCGGGGCUCGGGUCCCGGACUGUGGCGGCGGGAGACCAGCGAGACCAGCGGCCCAGCGCGCGGAGCUCCGGGACCGGCGGCAGGAGGAGAAGAAGGGCCCGCAGUCACCUGGCCUGGCGUGCGAUGUCGCCAUCCCCGAGCGUCGGAGGAAGUGAAUUACAUGCGUGUGCACACACGUAAAUAUUUUAUAAGCCUCCCCUUAAUUAACCAAAUCAUUUCCAUUAUGCCUCCAAUGUGAUCAACAGCAGCGGUGUGAGGGUUUUCAGGGCUUAUAAUUCGAUGUCACCAGACGGUCGCUCGGGGGCAGAGGUACAAUCGCGGAGCCAGCUGCACUUGUAUUUAUUUGUUUUUCUACCGUGUUCCUGUAGGGCUCCAUUAUGCAGUUUUUAAUUAGUUUGUGUUUGUAUUUCACCCGUCCCAAAUCAAUGCCAUCCCGGAGCAAGGCGAUGUAAAUUCUCGCAGUACAGGUGUAGCUGCUGGCUUGGGAACACUCGGAAACACGCGUCUGACAAAUGAGAGCGGGCGCCACACAGCCCACUGUCGGCUCCUGGCAGCCAAGAGGCGCAGACCAAAGCCAGCGGGGACUUGUGCGCCCCUGUGAGCGCCAAGCCCGCGUGCUGGGUUCCUAAUUCCAGUAGAGGGAGCCGCACAGAGCAAGGCGUGGGGGGCAAAGUGACUUUUCAUUUUGCCCGAGUCCUGCGGUCCUUGGGCCUAGUGGGCGAGGCUGGAGCCCGCGUGCAAUUAUCCUAGCUCCCCCCGGAAGAUCACUGUGGCACCUGUCGGGUUCCGUGGAGCCUUUUAACAGGACCCAAGGCAGACAGCCCGAAUUUCUGGAAUCUCCAGGCAUGAGGACCGCCUCCCCACACCCCCGCCCCCUUGUGCUGGCUGUCUCUUCCUUCUUGAAAUGACCUCUGUGGAGUGCCUGUAAAUCUAUCCCUCCAGCCACGGGGGAAUUCUUUUAAAGCUUUCUUUUUUGUCAGGAAUAAGAGAUUGUUCAUCUUUAACUAGACCACAUAGAAAUUAUGAUUCAACAGCAGUGUGUAUUUAAUUAGAGUAAUCUCACUUGAAUUUAAUUACCUAAUGAAUUAUUUGUUUAAAAGGUAGAAUGUCUUGUUUGCCAAGUGCGGUGCAGACCUCCGAUAAGAACUUCUGUUAUAAGGACAUUACAGCUUAAAAGCAGUCAUGUGUUAAGGUUUAUAUUUUAACUCCUUGAGUGUGUAACUGUUAACUGUUAACGUGCUACUCGCACAAAAGCUCUGAUACGGAAGGGUGCCGGGAGAGCACGCACAGAUUCUGUUCUGUGCCCACAUCCUUUUGGAAAUUGGCAUCCUCUACCUUGCCACCUGAGCCUAUUUUUAAACUUCCUGCAUUUUGCUUUCAGUGACACUUUCCUUUUUUCUGCUGCACGAUGACAGCUGUCUAUUAGAGGGCUCAUUUUAUGAUUAGUAUUUGCAAUGAAGGGCACAUCCUUCAGCAAAACUCCCGCCCAGCUCCACUGUGUCCCAGAGGCACCCACAAUAGCAGCAGGAAGCCUUUCUGGGCUCAUCAAACCUCAUGGGAAUGGAAGGUACCAAGGCCCAGACUUUGACCUUAACCCUUCAUUCCUAAACCAUGGAAGAAUCUCCUUGCCUCUUGGUUUCCAAAAGCAAGAGCCCAGAACUCUAGGCCACGCCACCCUUUCUGGGAGGCUCACAAGUUGACUCGUCUCUCGGUAAUGCUAACGAUUUUUGCAGCUAAUGCCAAGUUCGAAAUCCCAGCCAAGGGAGGAGGGUGACGUGCUGGAAGUCUAACAUGAUUUCUGUGUUUUUCUGUGGCUAAGUGACUACAGGAGCAGACUGCUUCUCCUCCUCUAUCCCGUGUGAUGGACAGAAUCGUCUGUCCCUGUGUGAUGGAAUUUCAGCAGAGGAAUGAAUGGAUAGGGUGAGGGAGGCAGCAGGAAAUGUUUCGCCCACUCACUGAAGAGAGACCAGGAAAUAAGAACGCCUGAAAUCUGCUGGAUUGAAUUCCACUGUCAUUUUCAUUAAUAUUUCAUCAAUCAAAUAAUUUACUUUAAUUGCAGAUUCGGGCACUAUUAUCACAUAAAUAUUAAAUAGUAUUAAUAUAGUGUCCAUCUAAGUAAGAAUGAGCUUAUAAGAAAGUACAACACGUUGAUAAGAAUUGUGAAUUUCUUGUUUCUUUCCUGUAUCCCUGAUGUGUAUCAUAACUGUGCAUUUUGCAGCUGGGUGUCCCAACAACCAAUAGCGGUUAAAUUGUAAUAUAAAUUUGGGACUCCUGCGUGGCUCAGUCGAUGAAGCGUCCGACCCUGGCUCAGGUCAUGAUCUCAAGGUUCGUGAGUUUGAGCCCCGCGUCGGGCUCUGUGCUGACAGCUCAGAGCCUGGAGCCUGCUUCGGAUUCUGUGUCCCCCUCUCUGUCUGCCCCUCCCUCACUCGCACUCUGUCCCUCUCUGUCUCUCAAAAAUAAACAUUAAAAAAAUUACA